rnacentral:rRNA from 1 species
UACAGAGGGUGCGAGCGUUAAUCGGAAUUACUGGGCGUAAAGCGCGCGUAGGCGGCUCGGCAAGUCGGGCGUGAAAUGCCGGGGCUCAACCCCGGGACUGCGUCCGAUACUUCCGAGCUGGAGGUAGGUAGGGGAGAUCGGAAUUCCUGGUGUAGCGGUGAAAUGCGCAGAUAUCAGGAGGAACACCGGUGGCGAAGGCGGAUCUCUGGGCCUUACCUGACGCUGAGGCGCGAAAGCUAGGGGAGCGAACAGG